AUGGCUCAACCGGCAAUCGAGCAGGAUGGAUAUCCUAGCGCCUCUAUAUUAGCACCCACAAGGAAAGUAAACAUAGACGCAUAUUGUGUUCAACGUGAUGAUACAAGCGAGAGUUGGCCUACGCCGCCAACUGAUCUGCGGCAGCGUGGAAGGAGUGUUCAAAAGCAGCAGGAACAGUUGUUCUACUGCUGGUCGGAGGGAGAGCUUGGCAAGGGAGAUAGAGGGAGCUCUACAACCACGAUCUUGGCAUACAACCCGAUGGCAUCAUGCCCACAGCUUACGAAAUCUUAG
rnacentral:rRNA from 1 species